rnacentral:rRNA from 1 species
AUGCCAUCGCUGCCCACUGCGCCGGGGUUCCCCCCGUACCGGCUGCGCCGAUACGGCGGCUUCUGGCACACUGACCUCUAUCUCAAGUUCAUCGGCGCGUCGCACGCGUGUUUCAAGCCGCGGCCCACCGACGUGCUUCUCGCGAGCUUCCCCAAGACCGGUACCACCUGGCUCAAGGCGCUCGCGUUCUCCGCGCUCAACCGUGCCGCCCAUCCGCCGUCCGUCGGAGCCGACCACCCGCUCCACCGCAACAGCCCCCAUGACCUCGUCCGCUUCCUCGAGCUCGCCGACCAAGACGACGAUGGUCUGAUCUACGAGGAGAUCCCUUCUCCCCGGCUGCUCGCCACCCACGUGCCCUACUCCCUGCUGCCCCGCGGCAUCACGGGCACGAAGGACGGCUCCGGCGGCCGGAUCGUGUACGUCUGCCGGGACCCCAAGGACACGUUUGUAUCCUUCUGGCACUACCACGAGAAGACCACGGCGACACUGCAGCGGAUGGCCGACGUCGGCGGCGCGUCGGCCGCCAUGCCGACGUUCGAGGAGGCGUUCGAGCUCUUCUGCCAGGGCCAGAGCGUGGCGGGGCCACAGUGGCGCCACACGCUCGAGUACUGGGAGGUGAGCCGCCGGAGCCCCGAUCAGGUGCUGUUCCUUAGGUACGAGGACAUGCUGCUUGACCCGUCGGGUAGCCUGAUGAAGUUGGCGGCGUUCAUGGCAUGCCCCUUCUCGCCAGAGGAGGAGGCGGCCGGCGUGGUGCGCGACAUCGUGGAGCUCUGCAGCUUGGGUACGCUGAAGGGGCUUGAGGUGAACAGGAGAGGGAGCACGAUGCUGGGGCUCAAGAACGAGGCCUUCUUUAGGAACGGCACGGUGGGGGAUUGGAGCAACUGCAUGACGCCGGCCAUGGCGGCGCGGCUGGACGGCAUCGUCGCCGAGGCGCUCCAGGGGUCCAUGCUCACCUUUGGCGCUUCCUCCAAGGAUGAAGUCUAG